AUGGUCCCAGUUCGAGCCGGGAUUGCCGCCUAUAGCGGCGGAGAGCAGGUGGAGGGCGUCCCCAAUCCCUCUCAAGGAGAGCGGGUAUGCUUAGUCCCUUAUUUGAUGAGAGGACUAGGAUUUCCAAUUCAUCCAUUUCUCCGAGGGUUGCUGGAGUUCUACGGCCUCCAGCUACAUAACCUCACGCCCGCCUCUAUUUUGCACAUCGCGGGCUUCAUGGCCCUCUGUGAGCUGUUCUUGGGUGUUGAGGCCCAUUUCACAUUGUGGAAGAGAUUGUUUUUCCUUGUGCCCCAUUCUCAAGAGGGGUCUAUUUAUCAGGUGGGCGGAGCCGAACUAUGGCGCAUCGCCGGGACCGAAUAUCUAUCCGGUACCCCAAAGAGGGUGUCCGAAGACUGGCCCUCAGAGUGGUUUUAUAUAGAUGACGUCCCCCUGCCGGACCCUGUACGGAUCGGCCUCCCCGAGUUCAAUAAUGCCCCGUUGAAGAAGCGCCCGAGUUGGCGCCCGCAGAACCCUCAGAGGGAAGCUGACAGGGACGUUCUGUACCUGAUGGGCCGGAUAAGGUUGUUGGCUCAUUUCGGACUGACCAUGAUCAAGGUCAUGGCCAUAUGCAUUACGCGAGGGGUGCAACCGCUUCAAUACAGAGGCCACCCCAUGUGGGAUUUCAAUGGGGAGGAUGACGCUACCCGGUGCGGUCGCAAGGGGCCAGAUUCGGCCGCCACUUUAACGAGAAUCUUAUCCACUUUGUACAAGGGGGAAGAGGAAGAAUUCCUCCGUGUCAACCCGGAGGCGGAUUCUCCAUGUACAAUCCACCUAGUUGGGUGA
rnacentral:rRNA from 1 species